GAUAAACGCUGGCGGUGUGCUUAAUGCAUGCAAGUCGAACGGGGUGGGGGGCAACUCCCACUCAGUGGCGAACGGGUGAGUAAUGCAUCGGAACGUAUCCCGUAGUGGGGGACAACGCCGCGAAAGCGGCGCUAAUACCGCAUAUGCUCUACGGAGGAAAGUGGGGGACCUGAAAGGGCCUCACGCUAUGGGAGCGGCCGAUGUCCGAUUAGCUAGUUGGUGGGGUAAUGGCCCACCAAGGCGACGAUCGGUAGCUGGUCUGAGAGGAUGAUCAGCCACACUGGGACUGAGACACGGCCCAGACUCCUACGGGUGGCUG
rnacentral:rRNA from 1 species